rnacentral:tRNA from 1 species
AGCCUUGAGGUGUUUUACAUAUCGGAUUGCAAAUCCGAAGAAGCAGGGUAAAAAAUCUGCCGGGGCUU